UGUCUUCUAUCCAACUCUUUCUGGCUUUGUUCUUACCUGAGGUGCUCACCUUCUUAACUGGCUUCUGGAGUUCUCACAAAGGUAAUUUUGGUCCUAUAUUAUUACCAGGUCGGUCGGUGUUUCUAUAGGGGAAUGUGAACCUGGGCCCUCCCACUGCACCAGUGCUGACAUCACUUCAGCUUUUUUCCUUGAUGUGAUUUUUUCUACUCCAAUUUAAUGAAUUAAAAGGUGAAGCAAAUUGGAAAAUGAAAAUGGUGGAAAAUACAAGUGUAAUUUCUUUGGAUACUUUUAUAGAUAAGGUUAGAAGGACUGACUAUUACUUGAAGUACCCAGCAUCGUCUUCAACAUUCUCCUCAAAUCCUGCCACUGUGCAAGCAUUAUUCUUUGUAUUCAUGAACAUUUUACAUUAUUCCAUGAUGAAGAAUCUAUACCUCUAGAGAAGCCUGCUAUGCUCAUCUUUCUGGUCAUGAAACAUAUCUGUUAUCAGUGCUUUAAAAUGGACAAUGUGAGCACUGGGUAUUGUAUGUAAGUGAUGAAUCACUAAAUUCUACUCUUGAAACCAAUACUACACUGUAUUUAACUAACUUGAAUUUAAAUAAAUACAUUUAAAAGUAAAUAAAUAAAUAAUUAAAAAAUGUUUUAAUGAGCCAUGUGAACACCUAGGAUAUUUCACCCCUUUCCCAUGACUAGACUUAGAAAAUUUAUUCAAAAUCAUUUUGUGUGACCAUCCCUCAUUUCCCAGUUAAGUUACUGAACCUAGAUUCUUUCGUUCAUCCUUACAUUUACAGCUUUCACUUACUUUUCUUUUAUUUUUAUCCAGUUGACAGCCAGAAUCUCAUCUUUCCUAUCGGGUUUCUCCUCUUAAUUAAGUGAUUUAAUAGUCUAUGCUGAAAAGCUCCUGCCUCACUCUAUUUUCAUUAAAGAAACAUUUCCUGAUUGUCAAUUGUACUAAGGAAUAUGAGGAAGGCAUUUAAAAAAAAAAAAAAAAAAGUCCCACAGUGAUAUCCGGAAGAGAAAUACACAUCAGUGAAACACUGGAGACCAAU